GACGAACGCUGGCGGCGUGCCUAAUACAUGCAAGUAGAACGCUGAAGGAGGAGCUUGCUUCUCUGGAUGAGUUGCGAACGGGUGAGUAACGCGUAGGUAACCUGCCUGGUAGCGGGGGAUAACUAUUGGAAACGAUAGCUAGUACCGCAUAAGAGUAGAUGUUGCAUGACAUUUGCUUAAAAGGUGCAAUUGCAUCACUACCAGAUGGACCUGCGUUGUAUUAGCUAGUUGGUGGGGUAACGGCUCACCAAGGCGACGAUACAUAGCCGACCUGAGAGGGUGAUCGGCCACACUGGGACUGAGACACGGCCCAGACGCCUACGGGAGGCAGCAGUAGGGAAUCUUCGGCAAUGGACGGAAGUCUGACCGAGCAACGCCGCGGGAGUGCAGAAGGUUUUCGGAUCGUAAAGCUCUGUUGUAAGAGAAGAACGAGUGUGAGAGUGGAAAGUUCACACUGUGACGGUAUCUUACCAGAAAGGGACGGCUAACUACGUG
rnacentral:rRNA from 1 species